rnacentral:rRNA from 1 species
AGAGUUUGAUCAUGGCUCAGGAUGAACGCUAGCGGCAGGCUUAACACAUGCAAGUCGAGGGGUAACAGGGAUUGCUUGCAAUCCGCUGACGACCGGCGCACGGGUGCGUAACGCGUAUGCAACCUACCUCUUACUGGAGUAUAGCCCAGAGAAAUUUGGAUUAAUCCUCCAUAAUAUCUUUAUCCUUCAUGGGAUUAAGAUUAAAGUUUCGACGGUAAGAGAUGGGCAUGCGUUCUAUUAGCUAGUAGGUGAGGUAAUGGCUCACCUAGGCUACGAUAGAUAGGGGUCCUGAGAGGGAGAUCCCCCACACUGGUACUGAGACACGGACCAGACUCCUACGGGAGGCAGCAGUGAGGAAUAUUGGACAAUGGACGAAAGUCUGAUCCAGCCAUGCCGCGUGCAGGAUGACUGCCCUAUGGGUUGUAAACUGCUUUUAUACAGGAAGAAACACUCCCACGUGUGGGGGCUUGACGGUACUGUACGAAUAAGGAUCGGCUAACUCCGUGCCAGCAGCCGCGGUAAUACGGAGGAUCCAAGCGUUAUCCGGAAUCAUUGGGUUUAAAGGGUCCGCAGGCGGUUUUUUAAGUCAGAGGUGAAAGCCAACAGCUCAACUGUUGAAAUGCCUUUGAUACUGAAAGACUUGAGUCAUUGUGAAGUGGUUAGAAUGUGUGGUGUAGCGGUGAAAUGCUUAGAUAUCACACAGAAUACCCAUUGCGAAGGCAGAUCACUAACAAUGUACUGACGCUCAUGGACGAAAGCGUGGGGAGCGAACGGGAUUAGAUACCCCGGUAGUCCACGCCGUAAACGAUGGAUACUAACUGUUCGACCUUCGGGUUGAGUGGUCAAGCGAAAGUGAUAAGUAUCCC